GAUACUCCACCACUACUACGCCCUGAAGUAGUUUAAAACAAACAACUAAAAGCAGAUCGUAGAAAUGAUACAGUGCCUUCAGAAAGUGUUCACGCCCCUCAACUUCUUCCACAUUUUGUUGUUACAGCCUGAAUUAAAACACACACAAUAACCCAUAAUGACAAAGUGAAAACAUGUGUUGACAUUUUUGCAAAUGUAUUGAAAAUGAACUCUUAGAAAUAUCACAUUUGUAUAAGUAUUCAAACCCCUGAGUCAAUACUUUGUAGAAUCACCUUUGGCAGUGAUUACAGCUGUGAGUCUUUCUGGGUAAGUCUCUAAGAGCUUUGCACACCUGGAUUGUACAGUAUUUGCACAUUAUUCUUUAAAAAAAUAUAUUUAAAAAAAUGUAACUGUCAAAUUGACUGACCAUUGAUAGACAGCCAUUUUCAUGUCUUGCCAUAGAUUUUCAAGACGAUUUAAGUUAAGUUAAAACUAUGCCACUCAGGAACAAUCAAUGUCUUCUUGGUAAGCAACCCCAGUAUAUAUUUGGACUUGUGUUUUAGGUUAUUGUCCUGCUGAAAGGUGAAUUUGUCUCCCAGUGUCUGUUGGAAAGUAGACUGAACCAGGUUUUAGGAUUUUGAUGUGCUUAUAGCUGUUUUCUGUUUCUUUUUAUCCUUAAAAAAAAUUCCCUUGUCAUUGUCGCUGACAAGCACACCCAUAACAUGAUGCAGCAACCACCAUGCUUGAAAAUGUGAAGAGUGGUACUCCGUGAUGUGUUGGAUUUGCCCUAAACUUAACACUUUGUAUUCAGGAAAGAAAGUUAGAUUUUUGGCAAAAAAGUAUUACUUAAGUGCCUUGUUGCAAACAGGAUGCAUGUUUUGUAAUACAGGCUUCCUUUUCACUCUGUCAUUUAAGUUAGUAUUGUGGAGUAACUACAAUGUUGUUGAUCCAUCCUUAGUUCUCAUAUCACACCCAUUAUACUCUGUAACUAUUUUAAAGUCGCCAUUGGCAUCAUGAUGAAAUCCGGCAACUGAGCUAGGAAAGAUGCCUGAAUCUUUGUAGUGACUGGGUGUAUUGAUUCACCAUGCAAAGUGUAAUUAAUAACUUCACCAUGCUCAAAGGGAUAUUCAAUUUCAUUGAAAAACCUUCCCUGGUCUUUGUGGUUGAAUCUGUGCUUGAAAUGUAUUACUCGAUUGAGGGAGUGGGGUACAGAGAUGGGGUAGUCAUUCAGAGAUGGGGUAGUCAUUCAGAGAUGGGGUUGGUAAUUCAGAGAUGGGGUAGUCAUUCAGAGAUGGGGUAGUCAUUCAGAGAUGGGGUAGUCAUUCAGAGAUGGGGUAGUCAUUCAGAGAUGGGGUAGUCAUUCAGAGAUGGGGUAGUCAUUCAGAGAUGGGGUAGUCAUUCAGAGAUGGGGUUGGUCAUUCAGAGAUGGGGUAGUCAUUCAGAGAUGGGGUAGUCAUUCAGAGAUGGGGUAGUCAUUCAGAGAUGGGGUAGUCAUUCAGAGAUGGGGUUGUCAUUCAGAGAUGGGGUAGUCAUUCAGAGAUGGGGUAGUCAUUCAGAGAUGGGGUUGUCAUUCAGAGAUGGGGUAGUCAUUCAGAGAUGGGGUAGUCAUUCAGAGAUGGGGUAGUCAUUCAGAGAUGGGGUAGUCAUUCAGAGAUGGGGUAGUCAUUCAGAGAUGGGGUAGUCAUUCAGAGAUGGGGUAGUCAUUCAGAGAUGGGGUAGUCUAAUACAGUAUGUAGUUUACACAGGUAUGAUAGUCUAAUAGAGUAUGUACACAGGUAUGAUAGUCUAAUACAGUAUGUACACAGGUAUGAUAGUCUAAUACAGUAUGUACACAGGUAUGAUAGUCUAAUACAGUAUGUAGUUUACACAGGUAUGAUAGUCUAAUACAGUAUGUACACAGGUAUGAUAGUCUAAUAGAGUAUGUACACAGGUAUGAUAGUCUAAUAGAGUAUGUAGUUUACACAGGUAUGAUAGUCUAAUACAGUAUGUAGUUUACACAGGUAUGAUAGUCUAAUACAGUAUGUACACAGGUAUGAUAGUCUAAUAGAGUAUGUAGUUUACACAGGUAUGAUAGUCUAAUAGAGUAUGUACACAGGUAUGAUAGUCUAAUACAGUAUGUACACAGGUAUGAUAGUCUAAUACAGUAUGUACACAGGUAUGAUAGUCUAAUAGAGUAUGUAGUUUACACAGGUAUGAUAGUCUAAUACAGUAUGUACACAGGUAUGAUAGUCUAAUAGAGUAUGUACACAGGUAUGAUAGUCUAAUACAGUAGUGUAGUUUACACAGGUAUGAUAGUCUAAUAGAGUAUGUACACAGGUAUGAUAGUCUAAUAGAGUAUGUACACAGGUAUGAUAGUCUAAUAGAGUAUGUAGUUUACACAGGUAUGAUAGUCUAAUACAGUAUGUAGUUUACACAGGUAUGAUAGUCUAAUAGAGUAUGUACACAGGUAUGUUAGUCUAAUACAGUAUGUACACAGGUAUGAUAGUCUAAUAGAGUAUGUACACAGGUAUGAUAGUCUAAUACAGUAUGUACACAGGUAUGAUAGUCUAAUAGAGUAUGUACACAGGUAUGAUAGUCUAAUACAGUAUGUAGUUUACACAGGUAUGAUAGUCUAAUACAGUAUGUAGUUUACACAGGUAUGAUAGUCUAAUAGAGUAUGUACACAGGUAUGUUAGUCUAAUACAGUAUGUACACAGGUAUGAUAGUCUAAUAGAGUAUGUACACAGGUAUGAUAGUCUAAUAGAGUAUGUACACAGGUAUGAUAGUCUAAUACAGUAUGUAGUUUACACAGGUAUGAUAGUCUAAUACAGUAUGUAGUUUACACAGGUAUGAUAGUCUAAUACAGUAUGUAGUUUACACAGGUAUGAUAGUCUAAUAGAGUAUGUACACAGGUAUGAUAGUCUAAUAGAGUAGUGUAGUUUACACAGGUAUGAUAGUCUAAUAGAGUAUGUACACAGGUAUGAUAGUCUAAUACAGUAUGUAGUUUACACAGGUAUGAUAGUCUAAUAGAGUAUGUAGUUUACACAGGUAUGAGUGUAUAAUACCAGCGGUGUAAAGUACUUACUGUAAGUAAAAGUACUUUAAAGUACUACUUAAGUCUGGUUUUUGUAUCUGUACUUUACUAUUUUUUGACAACUUUUACUUCACCACAUUCCUAAAGAAAAUAAUGUUGUUUUUACUCCAUACAUUUUCCCUGACACCUAAAAGUACUCGUUACAUGUUGAAUGCUUAGCAGGACAGGACAAGGGUCCAAUUCACACAUUUAUCAAGAGAACAUCCCUGGUCCUCCCUACUGCCUCUGAUCUGGUGGACUCUCUAAACAGAGAACAUCCCUGGUCCUCCCUACUGCCUCUGAUCUGGUGGACUCUCUAAACAGAGAACAUCCCUGGUCAUCCCUACUGCCUCUGAUCUGGCAGACUCACUAAACAGAGAACAUCCCUGGUCAUCCCUACUGC